UCAACAAUGACCAUGAACAAUUUAAUUGAACCUUAUGGUAAUGAAGGUGAUCAGCCUUUCAUACCUGAUGAACAUAUACAACAUGCACUAAGUGUGAAUCAAUAAUCUGUAUAAAAGUGAAUAAUCAACAACAACUAUUCACUAACAUGCUUUGAACAUACAACUCAAGUUUGAGUUAGGGAAACUUUCCUGAACCGUUGAUUACUGCUACGCAAUCUAAGUUAACGUCCUUAUUGAAAAG
rnacentral:lncRNA from 1 species